AAUACUGUUGAGUCAUCCCACGGUCUCUUCCUGACUGAGCAGCAAACGAGACAGACAGAGAGAGUGGAGAGUAAGAUAAAUGCAGAUACCCCAAUUCUAGAAAGAAUAAAAGGCCUGUAGUGGUUACAAUUCUUCUGCUAGGUGCCGAAAGGACAAUUAUCGCUUUGUGUAUAAAAGGCCAGGAAAUCCGUCAUCCUUCAUCAUCCUCCACCAUCAUCUGUUCUCUGUUCUUCUUCUGCUCCAUUAUUUUCUGCCUUCUCAACAUCAACAUCGCCCCUGUCGUCUUCUGUGGAUUGUGAGAUUUUGCCAGAUUUUGGGUUUGUCAGCCCAGCAUCCUCCUGUAAGUGGUGCUGCCCAGAGUCGGAUCAAGAGAAAGAGAGAUCUUACCUGAAUUACUGCUGUUCAGCGGAAGGCAGUAGGACAAAUACAGUCCCCGCCUACACAAGAAGACACCUUUGCUUCACACUCUGAUAUUGGAUGGACUUACACACAGAGACUGAUUAGACUGAACUCCUUGAUCCCAGUCUCAUGGACACUGUAAAACAAGAUAAUUUGAUGCUGAA